UUGAACGCUGGCGGCAUGCUUUACACAUGCAAGUCGCACGGCAGCGCGGGCUUCGGCCUGGCGGCGAGUGGCGAACGGGUGAGUAAUGCAUCGGAACGUGCCCAGUAGUGGGGGAUAGCCCGGCGAAAGCCGGAUUAAUACCGCAUACGACCUGAGGGUGCAAGCGGGGGACCGAAAGGCCUCGCGCUAUUGGAGCGGCCGAUGUCGGAUUAGCUAGUUGGUGGGGUAAAGGCUUACCAAGGCGACGAUCCGUAGCUGGUCUGAGAGGACGACCAGCCACACUGGGACUGAGACACGGCCCAGACUCCUACGGGAGGCAGCAGUGGGGAAUUUUGGACAAUGGGGGCAACCCUGAUCCAGCCAUGCCGCGUGCGGGAAGAAGGCCUUCGGGUUGUAAACCGCUUUUGUUCGGGAAGAAAUCCUCUGGGCUAAUACCCCGGGGGGAUGACGGUACCGGAAGAAUAAGCACCGGCUAACUACGUG
rnacentral:rRNA from 1 species